UACAGAGGGGGCAAGCGUUGUUCGGAAUUACUGGGCGUAAAGGGCGCGUAGGCGGCCUGUUAAGUCGGACGUGAAAUCCCCAGGCUCAACCUGGGAACUGCGUCCGAUACUGGCAGGCUUGAGUCCGGGAGAGGGAUGCGGAAUUCCAGGUGUAGCGGUGAAAUGCGUAGAUAUCUGGAGGAACACCGGUGGCGAAGGCGGCAUCCUGGACCGGUAUUGACGCUGAGGCGCGAAAGCCAGGGGAGCGAACGGG
rnacentral:rRNA from 1 species